CCAAACUAUUAUUAACUCCAACUCCACAGCAAAAGCCACCCAAAUAUUAAAUUUCCAUGGAUCCUUUUAGAAGCUUCUUCAGUUGUUUUUCCGGUUCAAGUAAGGUGGCGUCUCAAGGUGACAAUACUCCACCAACAUCCAGCAACGUUAAAGCCAAAUCGAAGGAAAGAAACAGUAAGAAAAGCCCUCCGAUCCCGAUGACUUACUUCCCCAUUGGAACCAGGUUUAGUCGCUUGUGAAGGGUUCCAACUACAGUUUCUUUUCAUCUUCCACAUUAUUAACGAAUCAACCAUGUUUCGUCGAGGGAAGUACUGAGUUACUCUGUGAUUCUUUCUUCCAUUUAGUGGGAAAAGGAAUUAAGUUUGGAAUUGAGCAAAGGCUAACUGUUGUGCAAAUAGCUGGGUUUUUUUUAGAUGUAUGAUUGAAGAAUUUAGUAGUAUAUUAUUCUUUUGGUUUAAUUCCUCCACCAGUCCCUGCAUUUUAAAAUUUAAUCUUUUUACUUAUCUGAUUUAAAAAUCAAAAAUCCAAUAAUGAGAAAAAGAAAAAAAAGAGAGGACGAGGAUUAUUAUAAAACUUAUUAAUAAAGCCAGUAAUUGUAUAAAUCAAAACUGUUUAAAAUAUGCGAGUAAUAGUAUGUUGAACUUUUGCCCAGUUUUUCUUUUUGUUCUUGGAGGGUUAUAUCUCUAAAUCUGUACCCUAAAUGCAACAUAACAUAGCAUUUAAAUAUGCCCCAUAUAUAUAAUAGGCUUUUAUCUCUGUCUUCUGACACGCCUUUGUCUGCCGUCUGGCACGUUUUGUUUCUUUUUGUCCUUCUGUACUUCUGCUUUCUUUUGUGAUUGUGUUUCUUCCACACUAAUUUUUGGUAUCUGUCGAGUAUUUUGAUAGGUCUUUUUUGGCGGAAAAUUAGGAAUAGAGAGGGGUUUGGCUGAUCUGAGGUUGGGGGAUGAAGAAGAGGAGGCCCUUGCUAUCCCAGAUGAGGUUGAAACGCAUAGUACAACAUACAGCUUUUGCUUGGUGGGAUGCUUCUUAACUACUAGUGUUGUUAAUUUCCCAGCCAUGAGGAAUACGUUGGAAAACAUCUGGCACCCCUUGGAGGGUGUACAAAUUUCAGAUUUGGGUGAAAAAUGGUUUCUAUUCAAAAUUUUUAAUGAAAUUGAUAUCCAUCGAGUUCUUACAGGAGCCCCUUAGACAUUCAAUAAUCACCUUUUGAUUUUCCAUAGGAUACAGGAGAAUGAGGAUCAUUUGUCUAUUUCUUUGGUCUAUUCUGAUUGGUGGGUCCAGAUUCAUGAUCUGCCACCAGGAUUUUUUAGGGAAUCUGUGGUAGUGCAAUUUGGAAAUUUCAUUGGUAAAUUUUUGGAAUAUGAUACGAAGCAGCUGACCAAUGGCUAUAAAAAUUUUCUUCGCAUCCGAGUUCAAUUCGAUGUUAGGAAGCCGCUAAAACGACGGAAGAAAAUUAUGAUUUCUGAGUCCAAAUUCACGUAUGUAAAAAUCUAAUACGAAAAGCUGACUUUGUUUUGCUUCUUGUGUAGCAAAAUGGUCCCCUCAUUUAAAAGCUCAUGCUUUAAGGGGUCCAAAAAAUGUAAAAAUCAUCAAGAAAACUAUCAAAAUCACUUACUUGAAAGAGAGAUAAGUUGCUGAAACUUUCAAGCUUCCCAAGCCCCUCUAAUGGCUGAUAUUUUGGUAGGAAUAAAGAAAGAGUAAAGAAAAUGGAGGUAAAUUUUUAUUUUAUUCAAUCUAUUCACUUAAGUCACCAACCCACCUAAUUUCUUUGACUUUUCUAUUUCAUUGUCCCUAUGGCCGGUCAGGCUAUUCUAAAGGGUCUAAUUUCCCUUUUAAGACCUCCAAUUUAAGUCCUCUAGCUAUUAGACACCCUUAGCUAUCAAAAUAAGACUUUUGCACUUUAUGCGAUUUAGUCCUUUUUUUUGUAAUUAAGCACAUAAACGCUAAAAUUACUUCACCAAUUUUUCAUGCACUAAUAUAAACAUGAUAUAAUCUUAAAAUAAUAAUAAUAAUACUUUCUCUGACCUCGAAUUAGUGGUCUCGAAACUACUGUUCCCACUAGGCCCAAAAUCGGGUUGUUACAAUUCUCCCUUCUUUAGAGAUUUUCGUCCCCGAAAAUCUUAUCGGCAAACGAGUUCGAGUAUUUAUCUUUCAUGGUCUCCUCGGGUUCCCAUGUGGCUUCUUCGACUCCAUGUCUAUGCCACAAAACUUUCACAAGUGCAAAACUUUUAUUUCUCAACUGUUUGACUUCCCAAGCCAAAACCUUGACCGGCUCUUUGCCAUAAGUCAUGUCCGGAUGAAUUUCUACCUCUGUUGGCGUAACCACAUGUAAAGUGUCAGAUCUAUAUCGACGUAACAUGGACACAUGAAACACGCCAUGAAUCUUUUCUAACUCUGAUGGCAAAGCCAAUCGAUAGGCCACAGGCCCUACUCUCUCAGUAACCUCAUAAAGUCUUAUGAAACGAGGACUCAAUUUGCCUCUUCUACCAAAUCUGUGGACUUUCCUCCACAGGGAUACUUUCAAGAACACUCGAUCACCGACUUGAAAUUUGAUCUUUUUUUGUUUCAAAUUCGCGUAAGAUUUCUGUCUAUCUGAGGCAAUCUUCAAACAGUCGCGAAUCACUUUAACUUUCUCUUCAGUCUCUUUGACUAAAUCGACCCCGUGAAUCUGAAUCUCUCUGAGCUCAGUCCAAUAUAAAGGCGUUCAACAAUUUCACCCAUAUAAAAUAUCAUAAGGCACCAUCUUCACACUUGACUGAUAACUAUUGUUGUAAGUGAAUCCAACCAAUGGUAAGUACAUUUCUCAACUACCUUGAAACUCGAGAACACAACACCGCAACAUGUCUUCUAAAAUUUGAAUUACUCUCUCUGACUGACUGUCGGUUUGUGGGUGAAAUACUGUGUUAAAAUUCAGUUUAGUUCCCAGUGCCUCUUAUAGCUUCUUCCAAAACCUCGAGAUAAAUCUCGGGUCUCUAUCUAAAAUAAUCGACAGAGACACUCCAUGAAGCCUCACAAUCUUGGAAACGUACAAGUCGGCUAGUUUCUCAAGGGAGUAGUUGGUACGUAUUGGUAUAAAAUGUGCCGAAUUUGUUAACCUAUCCACAACAACCCAAACAGUAUCCUUUUUCUUCGGGGUUACCGGUAAACCCGUCACAAAAUCUAUAGUAAUCUGAUCCCACUUCCACUCGGGGAUCGUGAUAGGCUGAAGCAGACCCAAAGGUACUUGAUGUUAAGCCUUCACUUGCUGACACACUAGGCACUUAGAGACAUACUCUGAAAUGUCUCUUUUCAUUCCCGACCACCAAUACAUUUUCUUCAGGUCGUUGUACAUUUUCAUACUACCUAGGUGGAUAGAUAAGCAACCACUAUGUGCCUCUCAUAGAAUCUUCUGAAUAAGUUCGCUGUCCUUGGAUACACAAACUCUAUCUUUGAACAUUAUACACCCAUCGGUGCCAAACUGAAAGUCUGAUUCAACCUUCGACUCACAAUGAGUCACCUUAGCUUGCAAAUCCUUGUCACCUUUCUAAGUGUCACAGAUCUCUUGUAGAAACAUCGGCCUAACUCUCAACUCUCUAGAACCAAACCAUCAUUUAAUAAGGCUAAUUGGGCGUCCAUUGCUCUCAACGUAAAUAAUUAUAUUCUACUCAAGGUAUCGGCGACCACGUUUGCCUUGCCCAGGUGAUAAUCAAUCACCAACUCAUAAUCCUUUAUCAACUCUAGCCACCUUCGUUGUCGUAGAUUCAACUCCUUCUGAGUUAUCAAAUACUUGAAACUUUUAUGGUCAGUGAACACUUGGCAUUUCUCGCCAUACAAAUGGUGCCUCUAAAUUUUUAACGCGAACACGAUGGCGGCUAACUCUAAAUCGAGCGUCGGGUAGUUUUUCUCAUGUGGUUUUAGUUGUCUUGAAGCGUAAGCUAUAACUUUACCUUCUUGCAUGAGUACACACCCCAAUCCAUUCAAGGAGGCGUCGCUAUAUAUCACAAACUCUUUGCCCGAUUUCGGUUGCACUAACCCGAUUCCGGUUGCACUAACACUGGGGCUUAGGUCAACAAAACCUAUAACUUCUCAAAACUCUAUUGGCAUUUUUCUGUCUAUUCGAACUUGACUUAUCUUUACAACAAUCUUGUCAUCUGAGUUGCUAUCAUAGGGAAUCCAUUCACAAAUCUUCUAUAGUAUCCAGCCAAACCCAAAAAGCUUCGAACCUCUGUCACAUUCCUCGACAGUUUCCACUUGACAAUAGCCGAGAUCUUACUUGGGUCAACUUUGAUCCCAUCACCCGAUACAAUGGGUCCUAGAAAUCCGAUCUCUUUAAGCCAGAAUUCACUUUUAUUGAACUUGGCGUACAACUACUUGUCUCUUAAGGUUUGUAAAACUGUUCUCAAAUACUCCACAUGCUCACUCUCACCACGUGAAUAAAUCAAUAUGUCAUCGAUAAAAACGACGACGAACUUAUCCAGAUAUGGUCGGAAAAUGCAAUUCAUCAGAUCCAUAAAAAUCGUUGGGGUGUUCGUUAAGCCAAAGGGCAUGACGAGGAACUCAUAAUGCCCGUACCUCGUCUGAAAUGCAGUUUUCGGUACAUCUUGCUCCUUAACCCUUAACUGGUAAUAUCAUGACCUCAGGUCAAUCUUGGAAAAUACAGUGGCUCCCUUCAACUGAUCAAAUAGAUCAUCGAUCCUUGGCAAAGGAUACUUGUUUUACACAAUCACUUUGUUGAGUUGUCUGUAGUCGAUACAUAACCUCAUCGACCCAUCUUUCUUUUUCACAAAAAGUGCUGGAGCACCCUACGGGGAAAAACUCAGUCUCACGAAGCCCUUAUCCGUUAACUCUUGCAGCUGUACUUUCAACUCCUUUAAUUCCGUUGGUGCCAUUCUAUACGGGACAAUCGAUAUAGGAGCCGUGCCAGGUAUUAACUCGAUACCAAACUCGACUUCUCUGGUUGGAGGUAAUCUGGGCAACUCUGCCAGAAACACAUCUAUAAAUUCACAAACCACUGGUACCAAUUCAAUCUUCGACUCAGAUACUUGAGUAUUCAGCACGAAAGUGAGAUAAGCCUCAUAUCCUUUCCUCAAAUAUUUCUCAGCAAUCAAAGAUGAUAUUACUACAUGUGAGUCAUCUGGUUCCUCUGGUUCAACUCGAAGAACAUUUCCAUCUUUACAUAUCAACUUAAUGGAUUUCCUCCCACAGUCCACUACAACACUAUGAGAAGUUAACCAAUCCAUUCCAAGGAUUAGAUCGAACUCAUCAAAUGGAAACAACAUAAGAUUAGCCGGAAAACUAUGACCCUUAAUUGUCGAGGGACAAUUUCUACAUACUUGGUCAACUAGCACAUGUUUGCCUAGCGGGUUGACACUUUUAUCACGAAUUCGGUAGACUCAAUAGACAUAUUCAUUCUGGGUACUAAUUUCAUGCGCACAUAGGAAUGAGUAGAGUUCGGAUCAAUCAAAGCAAUAAUAGAAAUACCAUGAAGAGAAAAAGUACUCGUGAUAACAUCUGGUGAGGACGCCUCUUCGCGUGCGCAAACAACAUAAGUUCUUGCAGGUACUCGGCCCUCAGACCUCACAACUGGAUCUCUAGAGUUACUUUUACUGCUAGCCCACUGCCCGGGUUCUUCUAUAGUCCACCUCUCGCAGGGGCACUACUCGCCCUCAUGUCUUGCUUUUUUUUCUUUCUCAUCUAGUUCAGGGCAAUCUCGGAUGAAGUGGUCCAAAGAUCUAUAUUUGAAGCAACCUCUUUCAUUUACUCGGCAUUCGCUGAAAUAACGUCUACCACAUUGUAAACACUCUGGCCUGUUUGACCGAGCAUUACCAACACUCGCAAUAGAAGUGGUUUGGGCUUUAGACGCCGUAUGCUGUUUAUUCUUGCUUUUAUUCGAGAAUCCCAUUGAUGCGUUCGAUCGGGUAGGAAACUCUCUCGAUCUUUUAGAUGAGGUCUGCUGUGAUUUCCCUAUCUAUCUUUUCUUUGAGUCUCGGGACUCAAUGUCAGCUUUUCUCUUCUCUUUGGCCAACUCCUCAGCCUUACAUGCUCUCUCCACUAGCACCACGAAUUCUCUCAGUUCUAAUAUGCCAACUAACAAUCGGAUAUCUUCAUUCAAUCCAUCCUCAAAUCUCUUGCACAUGAUAGCUUCGGUAGACACACACACACUCACUAGCGUAUUUGCUAAGCCUUACAAAUUCACGCUCAUACUCUGUUACGGUCUUUCGGCCCUGUUUCAAUUUUAGAAAUUCCUUCCUCUUCUGAUCCAUAAACCUUUGAUUGAUAUACUUCUUUCGGAACUUUUCCUGGAAGAAUUCCCAUGUUAUCCUCUCUCUCGAUACAACGGACACGAGAGUAUUCCACCAUUGGUAGGCCGAGUCCCUUAGAAGUGACAUUGUACACUUCACGCACUCCUCAGGCGUGUAAGAUAACUCAUCAAAUACCCUAAUGGUAUUUUCUAACCAGAAUUCUGCUAUCUCCGGGUCAUAAUCAAUCUUGGCUCAAAAUUCUUUGGCCCCUUACUUUUGUAUCUUAUCUACCGGGAUCUCUCUCUCCGAACCACAUCCACUUCUUGUGAAGCUACAGGGGCAUACUGAGGAAUCGGAGAAGGUGGGGAAGGUGGAGUAUUCAGAUUCGCUCGAAUAAACUCUGGGUACCAGUCAUCCAUUAUAUGAAGGUAAGCUUCUUUAGCUCCUCUAACCUGACUCAUCGUCACGGGCUCGCUAUCUACUGGCGUGGUCCCUUCAGUUGGAGCCAACACAUUGCUAUCUACAUCAUUCACCGUAGCUACGUCAGGAUCCAUUUACUAUAUAAAUAAAACACAAUUUAUCUCGUCAGGAGUCGUCAUACUAUCAAUAUAUAGUUAUGGCAUGUAUAGCUAGGCUUGUACUCACGCUAGGUUAUUCCUAAAACUGACUAAACCAUGCUCUGAUACCACUAAAUGUAACACCCUACACCCGUACCAUACGCAGGGACAGAAUACGUGGCGUUACCUACCUUGAACACAUGCAUUCUUACGUUUCUGAAUCAUCAAGACCUGGUCAAAUUUAAAACUUUUCCUAAACUUCUUUAAUAUGGCCUACGAGACUCCAAACAUUCAUUUAAAAACCAAUCGGGGCCAAUUCAGAUUCUUCAAUGAAUUCUGAAAAAUAACUCUAGGCACAGAGGCAUUUCCCGUGUGGGAGGGGCAACUCGCCCGUGUGACCAAUUUGACAUAGUCAUGCUAUUGGCCGUGUGAGUAAGCUUACAGGGACACGCCCGUAUCCUUUACCCGUGUGGAAUUACAUUCAAUUUUAGACCUACAGGGGCUUUCACAUGGCUUAGCACACGCCUGUGUCCUUAGCCCGUGUCCCUUAUACGGCCAUGUCACGCCCGUGUCUUAGCCCUUGUGUAAAAAACCUAGACAUUCUGUUUCUGACGUCAACAAAUCCUAAAGGUCACAAGGCCAAGGCACACGCCCGUGUGCUAGGCCAUGCCCUUCACAUGGCUGAGACACACAGCCGUGUCUCUACCCGUGUGUUUACAACCAUGCAUACUGACUUGCAAAUUUUACGUGCAGGGGACACACAGCUGGAUCGCACGCCCGUGGGGCAAACCAUGUGUCACACACGGCCUAGACACACGCUCGUGUGCUAACUCGUGUGGGCAAAAAUAAGGCUAUCUACCAAGCCUAUUUGUCACCGUUAUUCACAUAACCUACACAAAAUCAAUCAACACCAAUACAAGAAUGAUCCACAUAACUAAAACAACCACAAUAGACAACAUUUCACAUAUGCAAUAUACUCAUCCAUGAAAAUAACAUAUUUUAUGUAUAUAUAUCAAAAUGAAUAUUAGCCCUCAUUCAAGGCUUUGUUCAAAAUAAAAGGUUUUAACCCAAGCCAACACAUGUAGCCAAUUCCCAAUGACACAAAACAUUAAAGCCUAAGUUCUAUACAUGCCAUACUCAAAACAAGUAACCUAACUAUACCGAGUGCUUUGGCUGAUAGUGUAAUUGUUGGCUCCGACGUCCGUUGGUCCUCGAGCUAUUUAGGCAGCACUAUAAGAAAAUGGAAAGGAGAAGAAGUAAGCACAAAGCUUAGUAAGUUGCAUGCAAUAAAUAUAACAACAAUUCUACCAUUCAUCAACAUGCUCAUGAUACAAGAGAAGGUAUAAGUACAACUUACUCAUCAAUUGGAACACUACCGAAUAAUUUUCUAUCUUUUUCAUCCUAUUCUAUUUCUGUUUUCAAUUUUCAAAUUUUUCGUUAGAUCAAAAUCUGAUUUCACUUUUGAUUGUAUUUGAUUCUAUUUAAUCGGCAGAAUCAAAAUGGGAUGUAUAAACGAAAGUUCUGUUUCUACGGAAAUUCUUUCGAUUAACCAACUCGUUACGAAAUCGCGUUGAUAGCCUCGACUCAUGUCCUAGCCCGUCUGAGAGCUAGAUUUGCCUCAAUUGUUUGCCUCUUGCCUUCAGCUUUCCUCAAGUUAGCUUCCGCUAUUUCAAGAGCUUGCUGAGCUUCUUGUGGAUCAAUGUCACUACCCUUCAAUAAGCCUCAGACUUGGGGUAGAAUGCCGAUGCCAUGUCCCAGACAUGGUCUUACACUGGCUCAUGUCUUGAGUCGAUGCCAUAUCCCAGACAUGGUCUUAUAUUGACUAUCGUCAUCGAGGCCGACACCACGUCCCAUACAUGGUCUUACACUAGCUCUCACAUAUCCGUGUCGAUGUCAUGUCCCACACAUGGUCUUACACUGACACGUCUCGUAGCCGAUGCAUGUCCCAGACAUGUCUUACACUGGCUUAUGUCUUAAGGCCAAUGCAUGUCUCAAACAUGUCUUACACUAGCUCUCGUCUCAAUGCCAAUGGCAUGUCCCAGACAUGGUUUUACACUAGCUCAUAACAACCCAUACGUCAUGGCAUGAAUAUCCGAUUUAUUUCCUAUGGUUCAAACGGAAGAUUCCACUAUCUCAAUUAUCAUCAUGGAUUCUAAAUCCACAAUCAAGCAAUUCAUGCUAUAACAAUCCAAAAACGUAAAAUAACCAUGUAGUUGUAUUAUUUACAUACAAGUUACCUCGGAUUAGAAAAUAUGGCUAUUAAUCAGUCUAAUCUACUUGCUUGGCCUUCCCUCGGUCUAGGUUCAGAUUUUGAAUUUCUUGAUCUAAAGUAAUAAAAUUCAGUCGUUUUGUCAGCACCUUAAUCUAGACACUCGAAAAUUUAAUAUUGGGCAAAAUGACCAUUUUGCCCCUAAACAUUCACAAAAUGACCAUUUUACCCCUAUGCUCGAAAAUCAAUUUUUAUCGAAUUUCGUCAUAUCAUAAGCCUAGCCGAACUAUUUUUACUCUUAUAACAAUCCAAAAUUUCCACUAUUUCACACAUUUAUCACUUAUUUUACAACUUAUGCAAAAUGGUCCUUAGUUAGGGUUUCCAUGAAAACUUCUUCAGAAAAGUUGUUUAUUACACAUCUAAUACUCAUAUUCUUUCAUGAAAUUUCAGAAAACUAUAUGAACACUCUAAUGGUAAAACCCUAGACUUUCAAAUAUUUUGCAAAAUGGUCAUCUCAUUUGAAAGCUCAUGCUUCAAGGGGUCAAAAAAAUGUAAAAAUCAUUAAGAAAACUAUCAAAAUCACUUACUUGAGAGAGGGAUAAGUUGCUGAAACUUUCAAGCUUCCCAAGUCCCUCUAAUGGUUGAUAUUUUGGUGGGAAUAAAGAAAGAGUAAAGAAAAUGGAGGUAAAUUUUUAUUUUACUCAAUCUAUUAACUUAAGUCACCAACCCACUUAAUUUCUUUGACUUUUCUAACUUCUUGUCCCUAUGGCCGGUCAUGCUAUUCUAAAAGGUCUAAUUGCCAUUUAAAUACCUCCAAUUUAGGUCCUCUAGCUAUUAGACACCCUUAGCUAUCAAAAUAAGACUUUUGCACUUUAUGCGAUUUAGUCAUUUUUUUGUAAUGAAGCUCAUAAACUCUAAAAAUACUUCACCAAAUUUUUCAUGCACUAAUAUAAAUAUGCUAUAAUGUUAAAAUAAUAAUAAAAAUACUUUCUUCGACCUCGGAUAAGUGGUCUCAAAACCACUGUUCUGACUAGGCCCAAAAUCGGGUUGUUACACCAUGUUCCAUAUUUAACAAUCCACACAAUUUCAAUGAGAGUAUAUCGUUAACUCUUUAUUCAAACCAUGCCAUACACAAGUCAUGUACCCAACAUAUUAGCUACUGACUCGAUCAUCUUUUGAGCAUAAGCCUUCAAUUAUAUCAAAACAUAUGAGUUAUAUACACAUGGUUAGUGAAUAACUUAGUGUAACACCUCUCACCCAAUCUAAUCAUCGGUUUCGAGUUACAGGAUGCAACAAUUAUUUUCGGAGCAUAUAAAGACAUUAACAUUCAAUAUAACAUAAUUCAUACAAUCAUAGUCAAUUCGAUUCAAUAAUCAUCAAAUAAAAUCAUUCUCGAGUUUAAAACAAGCUUGUGUAUGCUUUAGAUUCAACCCGGAAUUUACUAAGAACUAAUUUGCAACAUUUUCAAAAUUUGUAAUCAAGUAUAAAUAAAUUCUCUAAAUGUUUAAUCAUGACAUGAACAUUUAGAUAUAUACAAUUAAAAAUUGAACCUUAGUUGAAUUUAUGAAAUUUCUUUUAAGGAAUUGGGCACAAAACAUGACCAAAUUAUAAGGUUUUCAAAGUUUUAGAACAUGUAUCAAUAACCCUUUUAGGUAUCGAUACCUUUUUUAUCUUCAAAUUUUCAUUAAAUCAAUUUAAAAUCUUAAGGUAUCGAUACUUCCUUAUAGAUGUACCCAUACCUUACGUUGGUAUCAAUACCAAACUAGCAUUUUGUUUGUUGGAAAAAUUCAAGGAAAUGAUCAAGUACCAAUACCCUAUCUCAAGGUUUCGAUACUUUAGUGCUAAAAUGGUAAAAAAAUACACUUUAUGCCCAUUUCAUGCCCAAAUCCACUUUGUAUUGAAAGGGUGCUUUGCACAUAUCAAACCUGCAUAAACCAUUCCAAUAUACACACAAAUCCAUCACUUAACAUAUACCAAGAUCAUACAAAUCACUUGCCUUUAUUUGGCACCGAAAUUUCUUUAACAUUUUAGUAUAAGCAUAACUUACCUACCAUAUUUUCAAUCAUUCACAAUCAUAUAAAAUACAACGCCAAUUUCAUAUAAGCAUUACCAAUCCAUAAAUCAACAUUCAUCAAGAUUCGACCUAGAUUACCUAAAAAAUAACACUUAUAUUGGCCCUAUAUACAUGCCACAUAUCUGAGAUUAAAACAAGCAAAAAUCUACCGAAUCAAUGGUAGGAUAGUGUGAAGCAAAAAUCUACCGAAUCAAUGGUAGGAUAGUGUGAGCUUCGAGGUGAUCUAACUGACACAUUUUGUGACCAACAAUGUAACACCCCAAACCCGGCCUAGACGUUAUGGCCGAAUCUGGCGAUGUCACAUGAUAGAGCCUUUUGAAGAUGAAUUGUCGCUAAACCUCAUUUCCCGUUAAAACCUUUAACUAACUUGUAGUUGGUUUUCAAAUCGUGUCAACUUUAAGUUUUCCAGUUUCAAACUUCAUUUUAUGCGGAAGCUUUCAAAACAGUUGCAUAGCCAUGAGUAUUUCGUUAAAACAUUCCCUUAUUUUGAAACUCGUAUUUUCCUACUUCUAGCAGGUAUAAGUCAUAAACAAUAUAAAACCACUUAUUGAAGUAAAAAUCCGUAAUGACCGUAAUUACAAAAAAAUGAAUACCUAAAUUAUUAGCGAAAAAAUAAAAUAAAAUUAAAAAAAACUGAAUUAAAGGUAUUACGGAAUAGUGGUGGUCACUACCGAAUCCUCCGCUGCUUCGAUCCGUUUAAUGCUAAGGAUUACUUAAACAGAUUUAAAUAGAAAAAGGGGUGAGUUUCGCAACUCAGUGUGUAAUCCCUACAGAAUACGUGCACACAACAUAGUAUCAAAAAUCAAUCAUGUAUAUACAGUUUGGGCCUGAGCCCAUUACAGAAUCAAUGUGGGCUUUAGCCCACUUAGAUACAGAAUUAUAUAUCAAUUAGGGCCUUAGCCCAGCUCAGAUACAGAGUCAGGAAUAUAUUAGGGCCGCAGGCCAAUCAGAUACAGAAUGCAAAUUAGAAUAUCAGAAUCCUACCCACUAACCUCUACACACCAUCUCUGUCCAGCCCUACACACUAUGUGGUGAUAUAAUCAGCCCACCCAUCCCUACACACCAUACUGUACUGAAAUACAGCACAUAAACAGAAUAAUGCAGCUGAACUGCCAGAUAACAGGCUUAAAGCCUUUCAGACACUUCCUUCGAAAUAUCAUCAACCCUCCCCGAUGCAAUGCAACAUACCAAAUAUGAAAUGCAACAUGCAAAUAACCGAUCAUACAUUCACUUCAGUACAUAUUUCAUGCUCAAUCAGACACCAUAUAAUCAGAUCACAUAAAUAGGUGUCUAAGUAAUGCUUACCGACCCUAUGUAGGUCCAUAGUCCACUUGGGCGACUCGUGAACAUUACAGAUCAUUUCAGACAAAUGGGCUCACACGCCUCUAUGGCCUGCCCGUGUGGUCCCACACGGCCCAAAUGGCCUUGACCGUGUGGAUCACAUGGCGUGGCCCAAAAAUCUCACACGCCUGUGUGGGCCCACAUGCCCGUGUGGCCUACACGGCCCCAAUUGGUUGAGCCCGUGUCUCACACACGGCCUCGUCGGCCAUCACAUGGCCGUGUCAUGCGUCCGUGUCAUGCGCGCACGGCCUGGCUUGUCAUUCAUACGCUCGUGUUCAGUCACACGGUCUGCCACACGGGCUACCACACUCAGUGUGGCUCCGACAGUAGGUUUUUUCGAUUUUUUGCUGAGGCUUGUUUUCAGUGUUUUGGGUACACACCUAUGUCGUUUUGAUGCCUAAACACUUCUGAGCACUCCAGUACCUAUAAUCAGUGAAUCCAACAUUGAUUUAUCGGAUUAAUAUACGAAUUCAAUAAUGAGGAACUAACGGAGACUCAACUUAUCGCCAACCAAAAUCUUUCGUUAGAGUUGCUAACAUAAGGGAUACGAAAAUCACUGAUCAAGGCCUCCUCCUAUGCCAUUAUUAACAAAAGAACUAGAUUACUAAUCAAUUGUUAUGAACUCCGCGAGAGAAAAGAAAAGAGAAAACUUACUGAACUCUUAUGAGUACCAACAAAUAUGUAGAUUCACGAGAAAAAGAUGGAUUAAGGGAGAGAUAAUAAGGAUGUCAGCAGCAAUAAGGAAAAUAAAAGUGGAGAAUGCAGAAAAGAGGAAUGAACGACGUCAGAGAGUUUGGGGAAGAGACAAAGAUUGAGUUUUCGCCAAAAAGAAAAUAUUCAGAUACUGCCCAAUCCCUUAAAUCACUCCACUAAUCCCACUAUCACCAAAGUACUUAGAAACCCGAUUAAUUCAAAUUGCUACCACCCGCCGGCAGCAAAAUAAAUCCAUUGCCUAAGUAGAGACUUGAAGACAAGAUCUCCUUCACACCAACACUCCAC
rnacentral:lncRNA from 1 species